UCGACAAACCGGGGCGCCAGGAUGAGAACCUGCAAGGUUCGACCCGAGCGCCAGCGAGGGAACAGCGGCGCUUGCGACGCUGGCCCGGAGGGCGAGGCCACAGGCCGAGUAAUCCUGGCGCCCCAGCCA
rnacentral:sRNA from 1 species